GGCCACCCCUGCUGAGGUUGAAUGAAAGGGGCCUAAGGCAUUUCAGCUGCUGCUGGGUACAACACAGCACUGCAGGGACUUCAGCGUGGGAGCUGCUGAGCACUGAGGAGGGAACAGGCUCACCAAAUGCUCUGACUGAGGCAGUGGGGCAGCAGCCUGGAGGAACUUGUUCGUGAUAUAGGCACAUCUACAAAAUUAACCUGC
rnacentral:lncRNA from 12 species